GCCGGGCGCGGUGGCGGGCGCCUAUAAUCCCAGCUACUCAGGAGGCUGAGGCAGGAGAAUCGCUUGAACCCAGGAGGCAGAGUUUGCAGUGAGCCGAGAUCACGCCACUGCACUCCAGCCUGGGCAACAGAGCGAGACUCUGUCUCAA
rnacentral:SRP_RNA from 1 species